UGUUUAUUUUACCUUGUUGCUUCGGCGGGCCCGCCUUUACUGGCCGCCGGGGGGCUCACGCCCCCGGGCCCGCGCCCGCCGAAGACACCCCCGAACUCUGUCUGAAGAUUGAAGUCUGAGUGAAAAUAUAAAUUAUUUAAAACUUUCAACAACGGAUCUCUUGGUUCCGGCAUCGAUGAAGAACGCAGCGAAAUGCGAUACGUAAUGUGAAUUGCAAAUUCAGUGAAUCAUCGAGUCUUUGAACGCACAUUGCGCCCCCUGGUAUUCCGGGGGGCAUGCCUGUCCGAGCGUCAUUGCUGCCCUCAAGCCCGGCUUGUGUGUUGGGCCCCGUCCUCCGAUUCCGGGGGACGGGCCCGAAAGGCAGCGGCGGCACCGCGUCCGGUCCUCGAGCGUAUGGGGCUUUGUCACCCGCUCUGUAGGCCCGGCCGGCGCUUGCCGAUCAACCCAAAUUUUUAUCCAGGUUGACCUCGGAUCAGGUAGGGAUACCCGCUGAACUUAAGCAUAUCA
rnacentral:rRNA from 1 species